rnacentral:misc_RNA from 1 species
AAGUCGUAACAAGGUAACCGUAGGUGAACCUGCGGUUGGAUCAUUAAAUUGAAAAAGAGAGAGAAGAAAUUCUCUUGAUUUUUAAACAUUUAGAGAUAAUUGAAUGUUUUUUUGUGGAAUGAAAAGAGAUUCUUUUCCACAAAUUUAUAUAAUUAAACCCUUUUAAUAUUUAUUAUUAUUAUUAUAAAAUAAAAACAACUUUUGACAACGGAUCUCUUGGCUCUCGUAA